UGGACUCUUCUUAGCAUUAAC
rnacentral:piRNA from 1 species